rnacentral:rRNA from 1 species
UACGGAGGGUGCAAACGUUGCUCGGAAUCAUUGGGCGUAAAGCGCACGUAGGCGGUUCUGCAAGUCGGGUGUGAAAUCCCUCGGCUUAACCAAGGAAGUGCAUUCGAAACUGCAGAACUUGAGUACUGGAGAGGGUCGCGGAAUUCUCGGUGUAGAGGUGAAAUUCGUAGAUAUGGGGAGGAACACCGGUGGCGAAGGCGGCCAUCUGGACGGUAACUGACGCUGAGACGCGAAAGCGUGGGGAGCAAACAGG